rnacentral:rRNA from 1 species
UUAGGUUCGGAAUAACUCAGAGAAAUUUGAGCUAAUACCGGAUAAUGUCUUCGGACCAAAGAUUUAUCGCCUUUAGAUGGGCCCGCGUAAGAUUAGCUAGUUGGUGGGGUAAAGGCCUACCAAGGCGACGAUCUUUAGCUGGUCUGACAGGAUGAUCAGCCACACUGGGACUGAGACACGGCCCAGACUCCUACGGGAGGCAGCAGUGGGGCAAUAUUGGACAAUGGGCGAAAGCCUGAUCCAGCAAUGCCGCGUGAGUGAUGAAGGCCUUAGGGUUGUAAAGCUCUUUUACCAGGGAUGAUAAUGACAGUACCUGGAGAAUAAGCUCCGGCUAACUCCGUGCCAGCAGCCGCGGUAAUACGGAGGGAGCUAGCGUUGUUCGGAAUUACUGGGCGUAAAGCGCACGUAGGCGGCUUUUUAAGUCAGGGGUGAAAUCCCGGGGCUCAACCCCGGAACUGCCCUUGAAACUGGAAAGCUAGAAUCUUGGAGAGGCGAGUGGAAUUCCGAGUGUAGAGGUGAAAUUCGUAGAUAUUCUGAAGAACACCAGUGGCGAAGGCGACUCGCUGGACAAGUAUUGACACUGAGGUGCGAAAGCGUGGGGAGCAAACACGAUUAGAUACCCUGGUAGUCCACGCCAUA